UGCGUCUUGAAAAUAUCGAUUACUAAAAAUUUUUGCAAAAAAAAAAAAAAAAAAAAAAAAAAAAAUGGUAUUAUAUUCUUUAGGUUUUUCUUUUUUUCGUUUGUGCAACGAAACCAGGCCGUAUCUGAAAAACCGAACGCCAAGCUCCGCAUCGAAGACAUCGAAGAAAAAUCAAUCUGGUAGCUAAAUCCUUUUUUAAAAUUGUUUUUGGACUAUUACAACUAUCACAAAGCACAUAUUCUUUGAUAUAAUUUUUUAAAACAUU
rnacentral:ribozyme from 1 species